GAGGUCCAUCCGUGUGGCAACACUGCGGGAAGACCUAGUGGCGAACGGGUGAGUAACACGUGAGGAACCUGCCCCGAAGACCGGGAUAAGCCCCCGAAAGAGGGUCUAAUACCGGAUGCCCUCACCGGACCGCAUGAUCUGGUGAGGAAAUGGAUUCCGCUUCGGGAGGGCCUCGCGGCCUAUCAGCUUGUUGGCGGGGUAACGGCCCACCAAGGCUCCGACGGGUAGCUGGUCUGAGAGGACGAUCAGCCACACUGGGACUGAGACACGGCCCAGACUCCUACGGGAGGCAGCAGUGGGGAAUCUUGCGCAAUGGGCGAAAGCCUGACGCAGCAACGCCGCGUGGGGGAUGAAGGCCCUCGGGUUGUAAACCCCUUUCAGCAGGGACGAAUCUGACGGUACCUGCAGAAGAACCCCGGCCAACUCGUGCCGCAGCCGCGGUACCGUAGGGGGCAAGCAUUGUCCGGAUUUAUUGGGCGUAAGACUCGUAGCGGCUCAGUAAGUCGAGUGUGAAACUCUGGGCUCACCCAGAGAGGCCCCCGAUACUGCUGUGGCUAGAGUCCAGCAGGGGAGUGUGGAAUUCCCGGUGUAGCAGUGAAAUGCGCAGAUAUCGAGAGGAACACCAGCGGCGAAGGCGGCACUCUGGGCUGGAACUGACGCUGAUGAGCGAAAGCGUGGGGAGCUAAUCAGAUUAGAUACUCUGGUAGUACACGCCGCUAACGUUGGGCACUAGGUGUGGGUCCUUACCAACGAGAUCCGUGCCGUAGCUAACGAAUUAAGUGCACCGCCUGGGGAGUACAGCCGCAAGGCUUAAACUCAAAAUGAUUGACGGGG
rnacentral:rRNA from 1 species